AGAAAGAAAAGGCAAUAAAAUAGGGCUGCUAACUCUGUUUUGGGCGGCUCAAUUCCGUCCUCUUUCUU
rnacentral:tRNA from 1 species